rnacentral:misc_RNA from 1 species
AAAAAAUUGAAUCAUUGUAGCAGUGGAAGAACCGAGGCCUACUAUGGGUUCCCAAUUUUAUAACAGCAGAAGCAUGGUCUGCUCUGCUGAGCUGAUUGCUGAAUGUAUAAGACUCCCGUGGGCUAUAAUGCACCUGAUCUGAUGCUCUCUCGUUUUGGCGAUAGCACGUGAUUCCACACAAGGUGAAGCGAAAUGAAAAAGUUGGCUGUGAUUCCCCAUUAUGGCUGUUUUGGUCCCUGUGCACCCUCGCCCAACCCAAAUUGCUCUCUGCUCUUUCUUUAUGGUCAUGGCUUCCAAGUUUCAACGUUCUGCUCGAUCUCGCGUUCACGUUCUCUUUAAUACUAAAUUGUUUCUGUCUGAAUUUUACAAUUCAGGAAAAAAAUAUUGACUUACUAUGUCCUGACGCAACCAUUACCGUCCAAGAAAGGAAUAAAUAAUCUCUUAGUUUUUGCCUUAUAAGAUUAAAGAAGAUAGAAUAUCGCCUUGCAAACAAUCUAUUUUAGCUUUACUCUUCCACGUUACAUUCUAUUUAAUUAAUCUUCUCUCACACGGUGUCAGGCUGUCACAGUUAAGGACGUGGGUUGGGGGGCUAACUCUUCUAUCCAAAUGCAAUCAACACCCCAUCUUUCUUUUGUCUUUACCUCGCAGUUUCUGGCUUCUUGUAAAUGCUGCUUGGUUUGAACUUAUCCUUUGAUGGGGAAGAACGGAGGUAGCUCAUGGUUGACUGCUGUGAAAAGGGCUUUUAGAUCUCCUUCUAAAGAGACUGAUAAGAGGAAUAGCAGAAGAAGAGAGGACCAUGAACAAGAAGAAGAUGAAGAAAAGAAGAGAGACAAGAAAAGAUGGAUAUUUAGGAAACCCGCGAAUCAAGAAACGGUGACACAACAGACGCCUUCGAAGGAAGCAACUGAUAAAGCUUCUGCUGGUGGUGGUAGGGCGGCACCGACGGACCAUGCGUCUGUCGCGGCAGCUGAGACUGCGGUAGGCACUGCCCAGGCGGCGGUGGAAUUGGAAGUAGCUCGGCUCACUAGGCCUUAUUACGAGACCAGAGAACAAUAUGCAGCCAUUGUUAUCCAAACCGCUUUUAGAGGAUACCUGGUAAGCUAAUAUUAUACAUGUAUAGAAUGUUGAGAGGUUUAAAUUCCUACUUGAGUUCGAUUGAAAGCAUUAAUUAUUCAGCAGUCAUAAAAGCUAUUACGGUCUGGGAUAGAGGAUUAGUUAGAUGUCUCAGAUUUUAAAUUUAGUUCGAUUUUAAAUAUUAAAGUAAAUGAAGAAUUACAAAUAGCUGUGAGAAAAAAAAAUGGUGUGUGUCGGUGGUUGAAGGCAAGGAGGGCACUUCGUGCGCUUAAAGGGCUAGUGAAGUUGCAAGCUUUAGUAAGGGGACACAAUGUGAGAAAACAAGCCAAGAUGACCCUGAGAUGCAUGCAAGCUCUGGUUCGAGUACAGGCUCGGGCGCUGGAUCAACGCAUGAGGCUUUCCCAUGAAGGCAGCAGGAAGUCGACAUUUAACGACACCAAUAGCGUAAUUGAAUCGCGAUAUCUUCAAGACAUUUCAGACAGAAAAUCAAUGGUAAUUUUUUUGAGGAUUCUUUUUUCUUGUUCUUGACAACAGUAAUAGUAGCAAAAUUUAUGUUUUCGAAAACAACAAGAAAACUGCAUAAUGCUAAGCGAACUUAGCCUUUUUGUUUUCUGACUUUUAAAGCUAAAGAUUCUCAUGGAUUGUUCAAUUUGUGACAGUCAAGAGAGGGAAGUAGCAUUGCAGAUGAUUGGGAUGAACGGCCGCACACAAUUGAGGAGGUUAAGGCCAUGUUACAACACAGGAAAGAGGCUGCAAUCAAGCGUGAAAAGACCUUGUCUCAUGCUUUCUCUCAGCAGGUUCAUUUCUUGCACAUCCUCUGCCUCCUCUGUUUUUGUUUAUCGUCUUGUUGAUCUUAUUCAAUUUUUUGCCAUAACCCAUUUCAAAGACAUGGAGAACUGGUAGUAGCCCGUCAAUAGGGAAUGAAGAUGAGCUCCAAGAAAGACCACAAUGGCUUGACAGCUGGAAAGCUGCAAAGACACAGGAUAGGAGCAGAGCCAGAGCUUCAACUGAUCAAAGAGACCCCAUCAAAACUGUAGAAAUUGACACCUCACAGCCCUACUCGUACUUAUCUUCGAAUUUUAGAAGAACCAAUCAAAGCCAAUAUCACCAAAACCAACACCAAAGAUCCAAUUCACAUUUGUUCGCUUCUCCGCUCCAUACAGCUCAUCAAACUGCACCUCUCUACCACUCUCCCAUUACACCCUCUCCAUCAAAAUCCAGGCCUGUUCAGGUCCGGUCAGCGAACCCGCGUUGUGCAAGAGAAUAUAGAAGCUACAAUCCUUCUCAAACACCCAGCCUGAGGUCCAAUUACUACUACACUGGCAAUUUGCAUCAACAUGGAAGGGUUGGGGCCAGUGGUAGUAAUGCUGGUAAUGCUACCUUGCCUAAUUACAUGGCUGCAACCGAGUCUGCUAAGGCUAGAGUGAGAUCCCAAAGUGCACCAAGGCAAAGGCCAUCAACUCCAGAGAGAGACGGAGUUGGGUCGGCAAAGAAAAGGCUUUGUUUUCCUGCCCCAGAUCCCUGUAGUGUAGGGAUGGGCUAUGGGGGUGGCUUUGGGCAUGGCUUGAGGAGUCCAAGUUUUAAGAGUGCUAGUGGUGUACAAUUUGGUGGGUUAGAACAACAAUCUAAUUAUUCCUCUUUCUGUACGGACAGCAUUGGCGGUGAGGUUUCACCUUCUUCAACCAGCGACCUCAGGAGGUGGUUGAGGUGAUUUAAUGGCUCCAUAGUGGUGGAUAACAUCAUGUGAAUCGUGAACUUUUGGGUGUUCUACUUUAUAUUGAAACAGUGACCCCACUGCUGGUGGUUGGAUUGUAAUGUCCUAACAAAGAGACAAGUGAGUGGAAUUUCUGGAUAAGUUCGUUCGUAGUUUGAACAUGGUAUUCAAAUUGAGAGUUUUUUUUUUCAAAUAUUUGUUUGAAGUUGUAACCAUAGGUGUGUGCACUGGUUUUCAUGCAAUCCUUCUUUGUUCUUAACAAUUUAAUUACCCAUUUGACUGCAGCUGAUCGAUUUCUAUUGUUUUCGUCUCUGUUAUUGCUCAAAAGUAGUUAAGUUGCCUCACAAUACUCCAUGUUCGAGGUUGUGUGUGAUUAACAAUGAGAUUAAAAAAAAUUAUAAUGCGCGAGGGAUGUUCAGCGAAGAUUAAGACCAUAUCCCAGGAUCAUCUUAGCAAGGUUUGGUAAUGGUAGGCAAGUAACAGUAAGCAGAGGCAUCAGAAUUCAGAAUGGACCCAAGAAACCAUGACAAUUGAUACCAGAUGUAAGCUACCCUCGGCAUUAUUAACAGCAUCUCUGUACACUUGCUUUCGUAGUAUAAAGUUGGCAUUCUCAGUUGCUGACUUGACCUAUUUAGAUUAGAGCAACUUUAACUUUUAGCUCUUUCCCGAUGUCAAAGCUACAGAGAUCACGUGCUAUGGUCAGGUCCAUGGAAGUCUUAUCCUCACAGAAAGUCAUAAUGAUCAUCGAUUGAUGCUGACACUUAUCUCAUGUGGUUAAUCUUUCUACUGCGUAUUGGUGUGGGUACUAAAAGCAACCCUUGGCUCUUGCUGUCAUGACUGUAUCAUCUUUCAAGAACAUGAUUCAUCAAUGGAAAAUUUUAGACUGUUAGAUCCUGCAACUGGGUUUUACCCACUUUUCAUUGCCAGAUUUUCUCAGGGAUUUGGUAAAUAUCUAAUUUCCUACCAUUUUUUUUUUUAUCAAUUCAUCAGAAUUUUAAUCCAUGAUUCACAUAUGGUCCUUUGAGAGGCUGGUUCAUUGGAUAAAGAGGACACAUAUAUAUAUGUGGACCAUUUUAGAAUACUUCUCUCACUCCUAUUUGCUUGCAAUGAUAGUAUUGUUGCUCCAUUAAGCCCUCAUUCUAACAACUGUUGGCCCAGGAGGACCUUCUGCUUAUCAG